ACGAACCGUCAAACACGGGUUGUUGCUGGCCCUCAAACGGGGGCAUGUGCACGCUCUGUUUACACAUCCACUUCACACCUGUGCACCCUCUGUAGUUCUAUGGUCAGGGGGACCCCGUCCUCCUCCUGUAGCCCUACGUUCUUACACACGCUCUGUAACGAUGUCUUGUGGAAUGCUUUGCGCGUUUAACGCAAUACAAUA
rnacentral:misc_RNA from 1 species